GUUGGGUUGCGAUUUUAAUGUGGGAUCUACUAUGUAGCUACCCAGAUUGUGAAGGAUCUAAAUCUAGGAACCUAUGUUUUAGGUGCUUAUUUGUGAUGUUGCUAAGUUGUACCGGGAAGCGGUGGAUCCCGGGCGGCGAAUCUAGUACCAUCUCGAGAGCAGUGAUGGAGGCCAUGACACCUAGCUUCAGCAGGUGACAACGCCCAUGAUGCCUAGAGCGAGCGCAGUGGUGGAGGAGGCCAUGGAACCAAGUUUGAGCAGGUGAUGGCGCCCACGAUGCAUAGCGAGAGCGCAAGCCUGCCAUGGCCCUGGCCAACAUAACUUGAUUAUCCAUUUUAAUUAACUUACUCACGGCUGCCUUGCUAAGUUGAUUUCUUGUUAUGUUUUACUUUGCUAAACUUUGAUGCUAAGUUGCUUUCUAGGUAGUAUUAAAAAUGUCUUAACAUUGAUGCUAAGUUGUUUUUAUGCCUGAAGAGAUCAUGCAUUCUUUUGUGAUAUACAAAAGUUGUAGUUUUCAGUCAAA